UCUAAGUAAACGCGGCGGAUAAUUAACCAGGGAUUGCGAAAAAAGCAGAUGCUAAAUUGCGAUCUUACGCUUCGCGGAUAUCUUCAAUUCUUUAAAAAGCGAGAAUCGGAUAGUUCAAAAAUACUUUGUUCUCUAACUUCAAGAACCUGGAGAGCACGCACCACGGCCUCCGGUCGGCUUCCCAAGUGAGUAUUGUCGUUCGGACUCGCGGGACUGUCCCAAACUUCACCCGAUGGUAACACCUCCCAGCCUUGCGCACGAGCCUGGAGAACGCUUUUGUCUUCCUCCAACUGCUUCACCCGUUGCUCC